GGGAAAUAAAUUGAAGAUCUGAGAAAAAGCAGGUGGCCCCUGUACACACUCAGGGCCCAUGGCAGGGACUGCAAUCUGUCCACAACACAAAUCAGGAAACAGAGACAAUUGAAGCAUAAGACCCACAGGCUUUUCCUCAAACAUCCUUUACCGCUCCCACCAAGUGUCACCAGUGCACAUCUCUGAUGGUGGGCUUGAUAAGACAAGGCUGCACCUGUGAAGGGCAGCAGAGGCAGGCUCUGAGCUGAGCUCCCAGGAGCAUCUCCUGCUGCCAGCAUUACUCAGUCUCUGCUGAGCCUGGGACAGCUCCACCAUUGUCACAAGAAAAUGGUGCAUCUGGAAGCUGCCACCACUGCUGCAGCCCUCAGAACCUGCAACUUCUGCCGGAGUCAGGAAAGACCCCGUUGCUGCAGAGUUAAGAGAGCUUCCAUCAAAUGCGGAAACCACCACUGCAGCUGUGACCUCACACUCCCUCUGCCAAGAUCCAAGCCAGUAAAAUGGAUGCGCUACAUCUGGCAUCUCUCCGACGUCUCCACUUUGUUAGCUUAGUAGUUAGCUAAUGAUUUUGCAGAGAUUUCUUUAAACAUCCGGAACCAGUGACUCUCCCACACUUUGCUGAAGAGCUCUGUGUGCAAGUGGGGUCACUUCUCCAACACUCAGCCCGGCAGGUGACAGCACGUUAUACUUGUGCAAAGCCUCAAGAAUAUUGGAAGAAAUAAUGGCAGAAAACCUCCCAAAUUCGAUGAAAAACAUUUAUCUAUGCAUACAAUGUCAGCCAGAGCUCCCUCAGGUAUCCAGUGGCUUCUAGGAUGCACUGUGAAUGCAGGCUGCCAUUUUUCAAGGCUACUGAGGAGCUGGAAAUGGAGCAUGGGCCUAGGGCGAGUUAAACCACCACAAAGCUCAGACUUCUUACCAAGAUUCGGCUUUUUCUUUUUUUAUUUUAAAUAAAUCCUCCUCCGAUUGCCACAAACCUUGGUUAAUUCCUAGAGUUCUAAAAAAGUUGUUUCUGAUGAAUUUUGCUCGUUUUCUCAUUUCUUUUAUGAAGGAG